UGUUCUAUACAAUUAGGUAUAGGAGAUAUGGAUUGUUGUCAAGUCUUCUGCGAGAAUUUCUUCAAGAAAUCUUGC
rnacentral:ncRNA from 1 species